AAAAAAAAAAAAAAAAAAGUUAAUACUCGGUGGUUUUCUAAAUGCGACAUUUAAUUUUGGACAAGAAAAACUCAAUUGUGGCAGAUAAAAAUGGACGAAGGAAGUAACAUGCACAAAAAUAAACGAGUUCAGGUAUUUUUUGAGUACUAAUAAUCAGGUUUGCAAUGAGUUCGGGUAGUUAAGGGUGACUUUUAAUCGGGUUUGAAACGGGUUCAUGUAAUGAGAAUAUUAAUCGGAUUCAAUUUGGAUAUGGUGAUUUUCGCGAGUACUAUACCCGUCCCAUCCCACCAUAUCCAGCAUUUAACCUAACUAAUCUUUUUCUACAUAGAGCCCAAUAACUUUGCUAGUCUUGUCCAAUCUUAUGAUCUAUCAACUCUAUAAAACAUCACUUCACAGUGAUACUAAAGUGGUAAUCAGCUCAAAUCAACCAAGUAGUCCAAACCUAUGGAAUGAAUCCUCAUCUUGGGCAUGCCCAAUAGCUUAUCACCUCAAACAUAAAGCAAAAAGCACUUCAAGUUUAUAAUUUACCCAUCUACCAGACAGAAGAAUCAUACCCAACUAGUUUCAGCUGCAUGAAGCCUUAAUCAUGGCAAUGCAACUUGAUGAUGUAUAGUAAAAAUCUUGCCAAGUAUUUUUCUGGAGCCAUUAGUAUGCUUCAGAAAACACCAAUGUCAGAUAAAAGAAAGAAAAUAACCACCAAAGACAAUAUCCUGGAAGAAGCACAGAGAUCUCUAGCCAGCUACCAACACAUGAGCAUGCAUUCAUAUAUGUCUCCCUGCGUGUAGGCGUGUGUAGAGUGAGAAACAAAAAGUUUAGGAUUUCACCUCAACAUACGCUAAAUAUAGUUUUCUCAAGCAAAACCAAGCAACACAUGCAAUCCUGGAUUGGCAAAUAAAUAAAAUAAUAAUACCUAACUGGUUGAGCAUUUUCAACAAAUAUGCAUCCAGGCUAUGAAAAAUUACAGAUAAUAGAGCUUGUAGAUGGGUAAUAUCCAUAGGGAGAUUGAAGCCAAAGAACUGAUCCACAGUCUGCAAGGUAACUUGAAUACGUGAGGGAAAAUCAUUGAAAACAAGAAUUCAAACAACAAAAUAUACAUGUACAUACACAAACAGAAAACUUAUUACAACAGAAUUUACACAGAAACAAGCAAGUGAUAAUGUUGACAUGUUCUGUGAACUGAUAUCAAGUUGUUAACAUUCUUCUUUUUCAGUCUGUGAAUGGCUUCAAUAAAAUAAAAAAGCAACCUUUUAGACCAUGAAAACAAAACUUCUUAGUGCAAGUAGAUCCAUCCCAACAAAGAAGGAAAUUCUCUUGGAUAGUCAUCAUGCAACAAAAACAUCAGUGAAUGAAACUAUCUCAGAAUUUAUUUUUACCUCUUCUAUAAUUCUAAAAACUUCAACUAUAGAUGCUGCCUGCCGUUGAUGAAAUGAUAAAGGCUCCCAAUCCUCAAUAUCAAAAGCACGUCCAGUCCAUUCCAAAAUAUGAGCAUGCUGAGAUAUCACCCAAUCGAGAAUGAGUGGUGCGGAAACUUCCCCAAUCUGAUAAUGAUCCAAAACUUGACUGGAAGAGAGAAGCAACCUAUUUGCAUCCAGAGCUGUAGUAUGUAGCCGAGUUAAAUAAUGAUCCAACAUUUCAGCAGCAGGAAGAACAGCCCUAACAUCUUCAGAAAGAGAUGACAAUCUCUUGAGGAAAGGUCUCAGUCUUUCCCCAUAAAAUUGGUGCAACAGAACAACUGACAUCAUCAGGGAUUCAGGACACCACUGAUGUAACACUGGCCAAAAGACAUUGAAGUCUCUUUCAGCAAUCAACUUUAGCUCCUUAGCAAGCAUAGCCAAUGGAUGCAUCCUUUGUACUCUAGAUUCAAGAUCCACUUUACUUGCAACCCGCCCGCAUGCAGCAUUAGUAGAGCUUGUGAUGUAAUAUUUAAGCUUUCUAGAGACAUUAUCAUUUGAAGAACUAAAUUUUGUUAACUUGAUUUCAUCACAAUCAUCAGAAGUAAGAAUUCCAACUGCUGACAGUAGGGCCAUCAUUGUUCUGAAGCAAGAAGGUUUCUGACUGAAAUGAAGAUGAUAAUCUUGCAGUGCACUGUCACACCAAAUGCUUAUUGAGACACUAAUAGCCUGCACCAAAUUUAACUCUAGUUCUUGGCCAUCAUAUUGCCUUGAACAUACUAGGCUGUUCAUAUACUGCUCCUCCUUCCUAUCAGCCUCUUCAGCAGUUUGAACUUUCUGCAACUCAAUAACUGCAUUUUCUAAAAGCAAACCCUCAUCUGUCUCCACAAACUGUUGAAAAAGGACCCACGCAUAUAAUGCAUUAUGCAUUUUCUGAGUGAUGCCUAAAGUAGACCACGUUAAUUUUAUAAGUGACAAGAAUUCAUCAGCUUCCUGGAAAAAAAAUUUAAUUGGCAAAACUGAGCAUCAUUCACAUAACACAAUAUGGAAAUAACAACAACAACUCAGCAUUAAUCCCAAAGUAGUUGGGGUCAGCGAACAACGUUGAAAUAACUUGACCAAAAUCAAGACAUGAAUCUACCUCUAUAAGUUGGCCUUCAUCAAGAACAUCAAACACAGCAAAAAGUAAUUUUUGAUAAAGUCUGAUGUUCAAGUGAUAACCAGUAGUCCAAUACAAGGUUUCACCUUGGAUGUCAAAUCUCCCAGGCAAAGAUGACAAAUUUACAGCAACUUGUCUAAUAGAUGCUAGAACUGCAACGCGCUCAGAAGGUGACAUUAUAGUGUCCCAUUCCUUCUCAUGUCUGAUCUUUGCAGCAUGGCUUCUAAUGGUUAGAUGGUCGGUUUUCUGCACACUAGCAGGAAAACAAAGAAAUUCUUCUAAUAUAUUUGCCUGAAACAAUAAAUGCAAAUAAAAUAGCACAUUCAAAAAUUAGAAAACCUUAAGAUAUCCCUUUUUUGUCAAAUUAAAUGAACAACCCAUAAUAUGUUCAGAACCAUACAAACAUCAUAAAUAGCAUCAAGUAACAGACUGUUAUAAUUUCAUAAUUCAGUGCAAUUGCACCUAGAUAGUUAAUUAGUUAAGCAACUUUUGACUCUAGACCCUGAAAUUAACCCCAAUCUAGGUCCAACCUUAGACCAUUAGGCCCAAAACAAAAUUGAAAUGGGCAGGCCGAUAUGUUUAUAUUUGGUCUGUUUUAUUAUAGAGACAAUUAGUGUUAUAUGCAUUCACUUAUGUUUGUGUGCACCAUAAAUGUUUUCUCUACCAUAUUCGUGGUGGACUAAAGGAAAUGCAAAUUGAUUCAUCAAUUGUGAGGGAAACCAAUCUCCCUUAUGCCAUAUUAUAGUGCUUAAAAAUGUCUGCCAGUUCUAUAUAAAAAUGAAAAGAGAAUCAACAAAUAAAGUUGAUCAAUACCUGCCUGUUCUUCCAUUGCAUAUAAGAUUUUUCAUUACGAAAAUCAGACUUGAAAAUACCAUUCAAAAGGCCCAGUGACACAUGAGGAAGGUCAAUCUGUCCAUGCAUUUGCCUUGCUGCCAACUGCAUCAAAUUUCGCCUAAUGCAAGCAUCCAUAGCUUCUGAAAUCUGCAUCUGAACACGGACAGUGUCCAUGAGCUCUGAGGGUCUUCCUAAAGACUCUGAUUGUGAAAGCACUUUGUCCCUUUUACUUUUCAAGCUAGACAAAAAUUUGGAACUCUUUUCUUUCUUUCUAUCGUCAACUGAAUAACUUCCAACCCCAGACAAAAAUAUAGAAGCAAGCAAUAACUCAUAGGCUGAUUCCCGCAAGUCAUCAUCAGACAAUCCUGAAGUUAUGUAUCAGUUUACUCAAAAUAAAAUAAAAUAAAAGACCAAUGCUUUCUAUAAAUAUAUAAUUUUCAUAUAUGGGGAAUAGAAAAACCUACGCAACCACUUUUUUAUUUUUUUUUUCCAGCCACAAUUUGUAGAUUUUCUAGUGCAUUUUCAUGAGGCAAUGUAAGUUACCAGCCAGUACCUGUGUAAAGGCUAGGUAAACCAAGUGGAGGAAUUUCUGAAUUUUGUGAAGGCCUAGUAGGUGUAUUUGUUGCUACUUUAUAUCUAGGACCACAGUCAUCCCCAAAUUUUGUGGCAUUCUCAACACUUGAACUUCCCAAUCCCAUUACACUCGAUGAUUAAGAUGCAUUAGUGGCUUGGCGCACAGUAAUAGGAGAAGGUACACGCCUAGGGGGAGAUCCAGCCAAGUCUGGAUCAGAAACAAGAAAAUAGGAGUUCCUUGUAUGUGAUUGACUCUGCAAAUACUAGAAAAUAAGAAGUUAAAGUCGCAGCACAUAUACUGAAAACCAGCUGUUCCACCAGCAUUCUUCCAUUAUUUUCAAGCCUUCAAGUUCAACUACAGCUUUUUCGGAGCUAACAGAUUUCAUAAAUCACCAGCGUCAACCCAAUCUUUGUGAGCUUCAUAAUAAUGUUCUUUUCCAAUUUAAUGAUUAGCGGAAAAUGGCAAAAGAAAACAACUACAAGCUACGUCCGAAGCAGAAUUCAAGUUCUAUAAUCUUCACAACCUAAGCAUCAAUUUUCCGUGACAGGACGCCUUAGUCGCUUCAGUAACAUCAUAACUCCACCUGAUUUUAGGCAGAGGAGGAUGUAAUCGGAGCUGAGAGAAUCAAAGUCGAGAUUAGAUAGAGAAUUGGUGGGACCGGAUGGAGUUCGGGGCUCCUUGAUCAAAACAGAAAAUAAAAGAAACUCUAAGAGCUUCCGGCGAUCUCGGCGGUAACGCUGCAAAAGAGCUACAGCUCGAGAGAGAGAGAAAGAGAGAGAG
rnacentral:misc_RNA from 1 species